UACAGAGGGUGCGAGCGUUGUUCGGAAUUACUGGGCGUAAAGCGCACGUAGGCGGCUUUGUAAGUUAGAGGUGAAAGCCUGGAGCUCAACUCCAGAAUUGCCUUUAAGACUGCAUCGCUUGAAUCCAGGAGAGGUGAGUGGAAUUCCGAGUGUAGAGGUGAAAUUCGUAGAUAUUCGGAAGAACACCAGUGGCGAAGGCGGCUCACUGGACUGGUAUUGACGCUGAGGUGCGAAAGCGUGGGGAGCAAACAGG
rnacentral:rRNA from 1 species